rnacentral:rRNA from 1 species
UACGAAGGGGGCUAGCGUUGUUCGGAAUCACUGGGCGUAAAGGGCGCGUAGGCGGCUGUUCAAGUCGGGGGUGAAAUCCCGUGGCUCAACCACGGAAUGGCCUUCGAUACUGGACGGCUGGAGACCGGAAGAGGUGAGUGGAACUGCGAGUGUAGAGGUGAAAUUCGUAGAUAUUCGGAAGAACACCAGUGGCGAAGGCGGCUCACUGGCCCGGUACUGACGCUGAGGUGCGAAAGCGUGGGGAGCAAACAGG